UACGAAGGGUGCAAGCGUUACUCGGAAUUACUGGGCGUAAAGCGUGCGUAGGUGGUUUGUUAAGUCUGUUGUGAAAGCCCCGGGCUCAACCUGGGAAUGGCAAUGGAUACUGGCAAGCUAGAGUGCGGUAGAGGGUAGUGGAAUUCCCGGUGUAGGCGGUGAAAUGCGUAGAGAUCGGGAGGAACACCAGUGGCGAAGGCGGCUACCUGGACCAGCACUGACACUGAGGCACGAAGCGUGGGGAGCAAACAGG
rnacentral:rRNA from 1 species